rnacentral:rRNA from 1 species
CUCGCCGGAAGACCAAGGGUUCCUGUCCAACGUUAAUCGGGGCAGGGUGAGUCGACCCCUAAGGCGAGGCCGAAAGGCGUAGUCGAUGGGAAACAGGUUAAUAUUCCUGUACUUGGUGUUACUGCGAAGGGGGGACGGAGAAGGCUAUGUUGGCCGGGCGACGGUUGUCCCGGUUUAAGCGUGUAGGCUGGUUUUCCAGGCAAAUCCGGAAAAUCAAGGCUGAGGCGUGAUGACGAGGCACUACGGUGCUGAAGCAACAAAUGCCCUGCUUCCAGGAAAAGCCUCUAAGCAUCAGGUAACAUCAAAUCGUACCCCAAACCGACACAGGUGGUCAG